rnacentral:misc_RNA from 1 species
GAAUCCAAUCAAUAUCAUAAAAUCUUCUCAAAGUCUUUCACGCAAGGAUAAGGCCAGAGGAUUUAAGCGAUUACUAAAGUUUGGGAGGAAAAACCCUGACGCAGAUAGUCUGGUUAAAGACUGGAUUGCUGCAACUACCUCUAAAGAAGAUAAUUGCGCAAUAAAUGGACAUGAUGGUCGCCAUCGCUCUAAUGAUAGCUUCUACGAGGAUGUGCUUUUAAAUGAACGAGUUCAAUCCUUGCACAGGUCUAUUGCGUCCCCUCCAGCUAACUUCAAA